CCUGAGAAACCUAAAAGAUCGAAUGAAGAGAUUCAUCGUCAAUAUAUAAAAUAUAUAUAUACAUUAUGAUAUAAAUUUUAUUAUAGCUUAAUUGUUAUUUUAUUAAAUUUAUACAUAUGUAUAUUAUUUUAUUGUUUUAUAUUGUCGGCGUGCACUUCUCUUCUAGUAGAACAUUGUAACCUGUUAAAUAUUAAUUUACGGCCUUAUUGGGUAGCCUUUGAUCGUUAAAACAUUAAAGACCAAUUUGUGUUUCCUAAUUAAUUAUUUGACAGUAUUCAUAUGGUAUUAUGUCGCUCAAUAUAUUUUUUUGCGUUCUUAUUCAUCGCAAGCGAGAUUAUUUUUUUAAUAGUUUACGGACCUAGUGCCGUCUAUUAUAAAUAGUCAGCUGUUGGCUGUAUGAAAAUUAACUAGAACUGACAUAUAUAUAUACCGGUUAA
rnacentral:rRNA from 1 species